rnacentral:rRNA from 1 species
GACGAACGCUGGCGGCGUGCUUAACACAUGCAAGUCGAACGGAAAGGCCCUGCUUUUGUGGGGUGCUCGAGUGGCGAACGGGUGAGUAACAAGUGAGUAACCUGCCCUUGCCUUUGGGCUAACUUCCGGAAACUGGGGCUAAUACCGGAUAGGAGCUCCUGCUGCAUGGUGGGGGUUGGAAAGUUUCGGCGGUUGGGGAUGGACUCGCGGCUUCUCAGCUUGUUGGUGGGGUAGUGGCUUACCAAGGCUUUGACGGGUAGCCGGCCUGAGAGGGUGACCGGCCACAUUGGGACUGAGAUACGGCCCAGACUCCUACGGGAGGCAGCAGUGGGGAAUAUUGCACUAUGGGCGGAAGCCGUAUGCAGCAACGCCGCGUGCGGGAUGACGGCCUUCGGGUUGUAAACCGCGUUCGCCUGUGACGAAGCGUGAGUGACGGUAAUGGGUAAAGAAGCACCGGCUAACUACGUG